rnacentral:lncRNA from 1 species
CCCUGAUGAUGCUUCUGAAAAAUUCCGGAGGGCAAAGGCUGAGUGUUGGGGCGGCUCCUGGGCUGCUCCCUGGGAAGCUGCAGCCCUGUCUCAGCAAAAACACCCGCUUAGCAACCCGUUCCUAAGGAAGGUCACUCCACAGCUUUUUUUUUCUUUUAAAGUGACAGGUUACUUCUAGUAGAGAAGCACACACCCAGGGUGAGCAGAAGCGCACAGCUUACAGGGGAAGAGCACAGAGAAUGAGCCUGGGGCGCUGGGCAGACAGGAGGCCAAGUUUUCAGUGCAGCCCCCUCCCUCACAUUAUCACUCACUGGGCACUUCUGAUCAAUGGCAGGCAGGCGAUGCUCAGAGACGGGUGGCUUAGAAUCAGGAAAGGUCCCCGUUACAGGGUGAGGAUGUCCGACUUAUCCGCCUCUCAUGCUCCCUGAUGUUGCUGUGGACUGUUCUCUGGUUAAACAUGAAAAAUUGAAUGCGCAAGAUGACUCUGCUUGUUCUCUGAAUUGCCCUGAACUUAUUGAAAGAGGAGAUCACUGGUAAGGCUCAAAAAGCAAAGGAAAUGGAAAAAGAGGCAAAGCCAGUGACUGAGGACGGGAAUGAACAGACCAAAGAAAGCCGCACCCCAAGUAUCCUAGGGUGGGUGUAUGUGUGUACCUGGGCCCUUCUGUGUGUGUCUCUGUCUGUGUAUCCGUGUCUGUGU